rnacentral:rRNA from 1 species
CUACGCACUCCUCGGGAGGCAGCAGUGGGGAAUAUUGCACAAUGGGCGCAAGCCUGAUGCAGCCAUGCCGCGUGUAUGAAGAAGGCCUUCGGGUUGUAAAGUACUUUCAGCAGUGAGGAAGGUGGGUAUGUUAAUAGCAUACUCAUUUGACGUUAGCUGCAGAAGAAGCACCGGCUAACUCCGUGCCAGCAGCCGCGGUAAUACGGAGGGUGCGAGCGUUAAUCGGAAUUACUGGGCGUAAAGCGCAUGCAGGUGGUUUGUUAAGUCAGAUGUGAAAGCCCGGGGCUCAACCUCGGAAUUGCAUUUGAAACUGGCAAACUAGAGUACUGUAGAGGGGGUAGAAUUUCAGGUGUAGCGGUGAAAUGCGUAGAGAUCUGAAGGAAUACCGGUGGCGAAGGCGGCCCCCUGGACAGAUACUGACACUCAGAUGCGAAAGCGUGGGGAGCAAACAGGAUUAGAUACCCUGGUAG